GCCCACGUAGCUCAGUUGGCAGAGCGCGUCCUUGGUAAGGACGAGGUCAUCAGUUCAAUUCUGAUCGUGGGCUCCA
rnacentral:tRNA from 2 species